rnacentral:lncRNA from 1 species
AUAUACUUUAAUAUUAUUCUUAAAAUUGGUGCGUAGUGAAAGGCGGAAAGGCCAUGAGAAGAUAGGAUGAAAGCCGAGCUCAAGUAGGCCCAUUAACUUUUCACAAGCAUGUUUGCCAGGAAAAUUGACAUUGGCGGGUACGGAGUUCGUCACUCCUUACAAUCUAUGGACUUUUCCGAGAAUGAUUCCAGUUCCACGAAUCUCUUCCGGUACGUUCAAAUUAUGAAUUGGAAAGUUCUUAGUUAGUGUAACAAGAAAGGGAAACAAUUCAACAACUAAUCAUCUGUGUUCUCUGUUACUCCAUUCUAUCAAUCGUUUUAAGUUUUGUGUCUUAAGAGUUGAUUAGUUCCGAUGGAGAGUAAUGAGAUUUAACGUUUUGGUAUAUGAGAAAUGACUUCAAGCGCAAGAUUUAGCGUGGAGCCAAUUGGAUCAAUACUUCUUGUUUCUUUAGGAGCUUCAGUUAAAGAAAAUAAAUUGUAUACAGUAUUAGGACCAGGAUCGUGGUACAAAGAAAGGAAAUGAGUUUUAUAUUGUUAUGACUUUGCCAUGUUGAUCUUAAUUGUCAAUUACUCCUGAUUGUGAGUUGGACGUCGUAGUCUAUUUUGUAUUUGAUAUGUAGCUCAAAAGUCAGGAAAAUGAUGUGCGAUACCGACGUUCCAGUUACAGCCUACAGAAUGUAUAAUUUCUAAAUGUGACCAAUUUUGUCUUCACACUGGACGUGGAAGGUGCUGGAAAACUUGUCUACCUAUAAAUGAUAAUAAUCAUGAUGAUAAUAAUCGAGAACAGAGAAUGCUAAGUAGUUCCAGUUCGUGUCUUGACUGGGUAUGCUGUUAAAUCAAUAAAUGCACGUGUAAUAUUUUUGCAAAUUUGCAUCUUAUUUGGGUAAUUGAUGCGAUUUCCAUUUUAGAAUCUAAGUACUGUGUAAAGCCGUUAAUCAAUUUGAUAUUACUUCUCUCCUGUAAACUCCGUAUCUUAAACAAAAAUGGAAUCAGUUUUUCUUCCGGAAAAGUGACAUGCAUGAACGCUAGUUGAUAUAGAGGGGGCUUCAUGAGGACGAAAAUACUUUCCUUUCUCUUCUCUUGUAAUUAUUUGUACCAUGAAUCUCGUUUGUGGAGUUAUUUUAAAAUGCAUGGUAAGUAGGCUUAAAUUGAUCGAUCAACAGUGAUUUCUUAAAAAAAAAACUAACGCUCGAGCAAAGCAUCGAAAUGUAACAUAUGAUAUCCAUCGCAGUGUAGCACUAGUGAAUAAAAUAAGGGGCACACGAAGGAAAUGUAAUAUACUUGACAACAUAAACAAACUGUGGGGCUUGCUACCCUAAACAUAAUGCACUCACAAGUAUGGUAAAUUUAUUCUGCUUCAGGUUCUAGGCUUGAAUCUACCCUCGUUAGCCAUCUGGAAAACCUGGGCCUGUGCUGCUGCUGCUUUGUUUGAGCUUAAUGCCGAUACAAAACUUUCACGGACUUGAUUGGUUGUGAAGGGGUACCUGUUGUUGACCAUGGAGUUCAGGAA